rnacentral:rRNA from 1 species
CCUCAAGGCAAAAAUAUAACUUAUCUUGGAAAAAAUUAGAAGCUGAGGUUUUUCCGGUUGUGAGAAAUUAAUUUCUACUUGUAAUUAUUUUAUCUAAAGUAUAGAAAGAACAGGGUUAGUAGCCUGGUAUGAUAUUUUUAAGGCAAGAAAAGAAGUAAAAGGAAAACCUUGAAACUUAAAUGACAUGGCAGUAUUUUACCCCCUGCAGAGGGGCUUGAGCAAUAAUUUGAUAAUCCUCGUUACUUCUUUCCUAAGUUUUUCUUGUGUGUGGUUGUUUAGAUAAGUAACAUAUUAUAAAUCUAACAUCAGAUGACAUGUAGAUAUAUUUAGGUUAGCUUUAGCCACAACUAUAUAAUUUAGCUGUUAUAGGAUU